rnacentral:rRNA from 1 species
UGCCAUCAGCCGCGGUAAUACGGAGGGUGCAAGCGUUGUUCGGAAUCAUUGGGCGUAAAGCGUACGUAGGUGGAUAGGGAAGUCAGGUGUGAAAGCCCACAGCUCAACUGUGGAACUGCGCUUGAAACUCCCUAUCUAGAGGAAGGUAGAGGUAAGUGGAAUUCCUAGUGUAGAGGUGAAAUUCGUAGAUAUUAGGAGGAACACUCGUGGCGAAGGCGGCUUACUGGGCCUUUCCUGACACUGAGGUACGAAAGCAUGGGGAGCAAACAGGAUUAGAUA